rnacentral:rRNA from 1 species
GUAAAGCGUGCGCAGGCGGUUUGUAAGACUGUCGUGAAAUCCCCGGGCUCAACCUGGGAAUGGCGAUGGUGACUGCAAGGCUAGAGUUUGGCAGAGGGGGGUAGAAUUCCACGUGUAGCAGUGAAAUGCGUAGAUAUGUGGAGGAACACCGAUGGCGAAGGCAGCCCCCUGGGUCAAAACUGACGCUCAUGCACGAAAGCGUGGGGAGCAAACAGGAUUAGAUACCCAGU